rnacentral:rRNA from 1 species
GAUGAACGCUGGCGGCGUGCCUAAUACAUGCAAGUCGAGCGAACGGACGAGAAGCUUGCUUCUCUGAUGUUAGCGGCGGACGGGUGAGUAACACGUGGAUAACCUACCUAUAAGACUGGGAUAACUUCGGGAAACCGUAGCUAAUACCGGAUAAUAUUUUGAACCGCAUGGUUCAAAAGUGAAAGACGGUCUUGCUGUCACUUAUAGAUGGAUCCGCGCUGCAUUAGCUAGUUGGUAAGGUAACGGCUUACCAAGGCAACGAUGCGUAGCCGACCUGAGAGGGUGAUCGGCCACACUGGAACUGAAACACGGUCCAGACUCCUACGGGAGGCAGCAGUAGGGAAUAUUCCGCAAUGGGCGAAAGCCUGACGGAGCAACGCCGCGUGAGUGAUGAAGGUCUUCGGAUCGUAAAACUCUGUUAUUAGGGAAGAACAUAUGUGUAAGUAACUGUGCACAUCUUGACGGUACCUAAUCAGAAAGCCACGGCUAACUACGUG